rnacentral:rRNA from 1 species
CCUACGGGAGGCAGCAGUAGGGAAUUUUCGGCAAUGGGGGGAACCCUGACCGAGCAACGCCGCGUGAACGAAGAAGUUAUUCGUAAUGUAAAGUUCUUUUAACAGGGAAGAAAGAGAAAUUUGACGGUACCUGAAGAAUAAGCUCCGGCUAACUACGUGCCAGCAGCCGCGGUAAUACGUAGGGAGAGAGCGUUAUCCGGAAUUAUUGGGCGUAAAGGGUGCGUAGAUGGCAUAGUAAGUCUUUUGUAAAAAUGCUGGGCUCAACCCAGUAGGGCAAAAGAUACUGCAAAGCUAGAGUAUGACAGAGGUAAGUGGAACUAGAUGUGUAGCGGUAAAAUGCGUAGAUAUAUGUAAGAACACCAGUGGCGAAGGCGGCUUGCUGGGUCGAUACUGACAUUGAGGCACGAAAGCGUGGGGAGCAAACAGGAUUAGAUACCCGGGUAGUC